UACAAUGGCAGGUACAGAGGGAUGCUACCGGGCGACCGGAUGCGGAUCUCGAAAGCCUGUCCCAGUUCGGACUGGAGUCUGCAACCCGACUCCACGAAGUUGGAUUCGCUAGUAAUCGCGCAUCAGCCAUGGCGCGGUGAAUACGUUCCCGGGCCUUGUACACACCGCCCGUCAAGCCAUGGGAGCCGGGGGCGCCUGAAGUCCGGGACCGCGAGGACCGGCCUAGGGCGAAACUGGUAACUGGGGCUAAGUCGUAACAAGGUAUC
rnacentral:rRNA from 1 species